GGUACUACAUAUUAUAAUAAAAUACAUGCAGAAAACUGGCAGAAAAGUGCCACAAGGUUCAAAACAUGUGAAAUAAUCAAAGUCUGAAAACUAAAAACUUAUACAUCUGUCCAAAAAGCCUCUAACUGUCUGAACUGUGGAGUUGAUGGGAUAUGUUCCCAACUAACUCCGUCUAAUAAAAUAAAUUUAAUACAAUAAUGUACCGAAAUAAUAAUCAUCCUCGAAAGAUGAGGACUCACUAAUACGUCUACUGCUGCUGGCUGAGUCUGGGCUGCUAGAGAGGCUUUGGAGCUUGUGCUUCUAAACCUAUAGCAUCAAUUAAAACACCAUAGCGCAAAUGCGUCAGUACGGGAAUGUACUAAGUAUGCAAAUAUGGUAAGGCUAAAUGAAAGGGCUUAUGCAUGAACAAUGUUGACUGAUAUGAAUGUGAGAAUACAUGCAUGCAUACAUACAUACAUAAGUAACUAUAAUCGAACUCGUGGUAAUACUAGCUACUGAAUCUGAAUGCUGACAACAUGGGUUUACUGAUACUGAGAUACUAAAUAGAUAAAUAACUACCUAUGACAGUUUGAAUUAUGAAGAACUGUCUUGAUUGAUUAUGUCUAACAGUCCUGAAAUCGAAUACUGAUAAUGUUAACUAUGAAGACUGAUAUAAUUGAUAUGUCUGUAAUGAUCGUCCUAACUGAUGCAACUGAUACUGAGCGACUAUAUCUGACAGUCUAAUCUUCUAGUAAUGGUUGAGAGUGACUAAAGUUAAGAUCAGUCCUAACUAAUGGGUGAUCUCUAGAACUGAUAUUGAGAAUACUAAACUAAAUUUGAGGCUGAGAUAAAGCCUGUCUGAUGGGUGACCUCUGUAAGUACUGAUACUGAAUAACUUAUGUGAGACCAAGCCUACCCAGUGGGUGGUCUAUGAAUCUUUGGAACUAUCUGAGUUCCUUACUGAGAUUGAUGACUGUAUCUGACAGUCCUGAUUUCUGAGUUCUACUCUAAAAACUGAUACUAAAACUGUAACUGUGGGAGUUCUCACUUAACUGACAUGCCCCAAAUCUGACUAGUGGGGUCCAACCUGUAACCCCAGCUGGAAGGGUAUCAAUACCGUGCCAUGGGUAAAUACCUCUCUAGUCAAGCCUAUUUGGCGGGUGACCCUCGUAGGAAGUCGAUCCUAAGGCAGUAUAAUAGUCAAGCCUCUCUAACAGGUGACAAGCCUUUCUCUGACGGGUGACUCCUACAUCCUGUACUGGCUAUGCAGUUCUAGAGUUCAGGGAUUUCUUCUAAUGACUCUGCCUCUCUGAUGGGGAGCCGUCAUCCCUGCACUCGCUCGGUGAUAGCUCCUACACCCAACCGAAAGACUCUAAUCUGAUCCUUAACUGAACUUAGAUAGAGCUGAAUCUUGUUACUGAUUAUCUUACUUGACUGAUCUGACUGAGUUUGCUUGGUUCCAAUAUCUGACGGAAUACUUUUGAAUUCUACUUUCUGUCUGAAUACAACUGAAUUUUGUAACUUACAAGGCCUUACUAGAAUCUAAACUGAAUACUGAGCUUGAUUAAACUGAAUACUGAGGUUUACUGAUUUUUCUUACUAUUCAGUCAUUAACUGAGUUCUAUUGAUCAUAGAAUGACUGAGAUUAUCUUAAGACUGACUCGGUUCUAGGCACAGAACUAUAUUUUUUGGGUACAAGUACCCCCAGGACUCGAUAGAAGGAAACUGACAUGACUUAACGCUUGAAUAUAUGACCAACAUCACAUCAUAACAAUAAUCUAUCACAUCAACAUCAUAACAACAGUCUAUCAUUCGCAACAUGAUCAAGGAUGUAUAACUUCAAGCACUUGGGAACAUUCAACAUGUAGAUCGUAUAUAAAGGCAUGCUAUUGUCUCAUGAAUUAUUCAACAAGGACACAUGAAUAGGGAGUACAUGCAACAUAUCAUACUUCACUCAUCUUGGCAAUACAACAAACACUUAGCAUACUUUAUUUGACACAACAUUGGGGAUUUUAUACUUAGUGUACUACAAUGGUACUAUUUUCUUCAUAUAAGCAUUCUAGCAUACACAUGUGAGGCACACUUUAGUCAUACAACAAUUCAUUUCACCAAAUUAACAUAAUUACGUGAUUCAACAUGCUUCUUGAAGAGAUUUUAUCAUGAACAUCACAUAAUCAACAUACACUAAAGUCAAUACUUCCAUCCUUAUGAUCAAAGCAUGAAUUAAAAAUCAUUAUCAACAUGGACAUCAUCUUCAAACCACAUAUCUCAUGGGAAUUCAUAAAAAUAUAAUCUUGGAACUUUAAAAAUAGAUUUUAAAAAUUCUUGGGCGGAAGGGACCCAAGAAAGAACAUCUGCAUACCUUAGUAUCCUGAUUUGGAGAGACUUGACGAAGGAAUUCUUGAAACUUUGGGUUGAAACCCUAGGUUGUUCUUGAGAUAAAAUUGAGAGAAAACCUUAUAAUUUGGGUUGAAUAAGGAUGAAUUUUGUGUUAAAGAGGUAUAAAAAGGGUUGGGAAAAAACCCUUUUGCCAUUAAAAUUUUAGGGCUGAAAGCUGGAAAUUUCAGGAGCAUGCUAUGGAAUAUGCGUUGCAUGCUCUAGUCCUCCGCUCCGGAGCAUGCUUCGCAUGCUAGGACCAUGCUAUAGAGAAUGUGUCGCAUGCUAAUCGCAUGCAACCACUGGUUUGAAAUCCAAACAUGCCCUAAACGGACUCCAAAAAUUUUAAAACUUACCCGGAAUGUACUAUGACCUUGCCCCAUUGCAACGCAACUUAAAAAUCCAAAAAACAAAGGUCGGAAAAAGGUCAUGAAAUAAUUCAUCAAAGUUAGCAAGCUUAUGGAAUGAAUAAAGUUUCAACACUUAGCCAAAUUUUUGAGUGUUAAGCUUCUCUUGAUGAGCUUAAAAAAGCUUUACCGACUCGGAAAGUUCACGAGGUCUUACAACUCCAUACCAGCCUAUGGCUCUCCCUCCUAAGAUAAGGGUUACUCAACUAGAGAUCGUUUCCACAAUGUGUACUAUGGACUUGUUAUGAAAGAAAUGACUCGGGUUAUGCAAAUGCUGAUAGAUAUAAAACGGUAACAGAUACGAGAAGACUUGUAAACACGUAGCACGUAGGCACUCAACAAUGAUAAAAAAAUAACACAAACACCAACACAAACAAAACUUCUAUACACCUAUAAUGUCAAGUUAAGACAAUACAACUCAAAAAAAUAAGCUUGAAUUCUGAAAAAUUCCUAUUAGCGUCGCUAGAGCUGUCACACCCCCUUUUAUUUACCAAAAAGAAUUAAUUUUAUUUUAAGUUUGAAAGAAUUUUUAUUAUUAAGUUACAAAAGAUGAAGUUUGUUUUGAAAAGAAUACUUUUUCAAUUAACUCAGAGUCGCCACUUGGCAUAAAUCGGGUGUGCCAAGUCACCUUUGGAAAUCCUUUUCAAAAUGAUUUGACUCUAAAAAUGAUCCGCAAAUAGAGAUUCCAGCUAAGGAAUUUUGUUGACCGAGGAAAGGUGUUAGGAACCCUUCGGUCCCGUGGUUCAACCACGGUCACUCUGUAGAGUAUAUUGGCAAGCAUGAACACUAUGAAUGUACAAAUGUAAUGCCCCAAUUCGCUGAACCAAAACGUUACACGAUGCUUAUGAACCCGAAGGACCACAAUCUAACCCAUGACUGAUAUCUCUACCUGUAUACUGCAUAAUAUAAUAUGAAAAUGCGAAAACAUGCACUAAAAGGCCAUAAGGUUCGCAACUGAACAUAAUCUGAAAUAUAUGAUAUUUGAUAAGGGUAAUGGAAUACCCAAAACAAAAUGAAAAUACUGAAAUCAUGAUAGUCUGCAUCUAGUCUAAAAGUCUCUACUGUCUGAAUAAUCUGAAUAAGGAGUUGAUGGGACAUGCCCCCAACUAACUCCAACUAAUAAACUAAUAAAUGAGAUUUAUAAAGAAACAAUCAUGUCCUCGAAGGAUGAGGACUCACUUCUGACUCUAGCUACUGAAAACUGGGAUCUACAGUUGAUUUGGAGCAUGUGUUUCUGAACCUAUGGUGUAACAUAAAAGAAAGCACCAUAGAGCGAAUGCGUUAGUACAUAUGUACCAAGUAUACAUGUGAGGUAGGCUAAAUUCAAUGGUUCAUAUGCAUGAAUAAUGCUAACUGACUUUCUAACAUGAACGUGAGAAUACAUGCAUAAAUACGUAACUGUAACUGACAACGUGAUAUCAUGAUUUACUGAGUCUGAAUACUGAUAACAUAACAUGAUUGAUAACAUGAAUGCCUGAAUCUGAAUGUGACUGAUGACAUGGGUGACUGUAUCUGAUAGUCCUGAAUCUGAUUGAAUUAUCUAAGUUUUGUAAUGUAUCUGAGGUGACUGUAGCUAACAGUCCUAAAAUCUGAAGAACUAUUUGAGUUCUAUUACUAAGAUUGAUUGACUGUGACUGAUAGUCCUGAUUUUGUAACAUGAAACUGUGGAAAGUAGUAUUUAACCGACAUGCCCCAAAGGUGCUAUAAUAGCUGAGCUGAGGUCCAAUCUAUGCCCUGAUUGGAAGGGUGUCAAUACCACGCCACUAGUCAAGACAACAUAUGAGUAACCUUUAUAUAAUAGGUAACUCUAGUGAGAACGGUGGGAACUCUCAUAUAACAGGUUAAGUACCUCAUCUACCCUCAUAUAGCAGGUUACGAUGUCUCAACCUACGCUGGCUACAUAGUUCUGGAAAACAAGGAUUGCUUCUUGGAAUCACACCCUCAUAUAGCAGGUGGGUUCCCAUCCUUGGGUUCACUUUGUGCUAAUCCCUACUCCCAUCUAAAUAGAUACUAAACAUGAUGUGUCGAAGCUGAUCAUGAGCUAUGUUACUGAAUUUUGCUGACUGAUGAAAUGCUACUGAUAUCUGACAACUGAUUGAAUCAUGAGAUCAUGGAGAUAUUUCCUGAGUCGUAAGACUAUAUGAAGUCUAAGAGUUCAUAGCUUGACUCAGAGUAUCAUGAAAACAUGACAUGGUUCUAGGCACACAGCUAAUGUUUCGGGUACAAGUACCCCCAGGACUCGAUAGAAGGAGUCUUAUAUAGCAUGAUUUACUUGAAGACUUGAAUGACUUCAUAAUACAUACUACAUUCAUAGGAGCAUUUCAUCAAACAUGUAAUAGGCAUAAACUUGUACAUACAUAGGGAUUUCAUGAUAUCAUGCUUGUUAGACAAUAUUCCUUCAUCUAGGCAUUUAAUCAAACACAUUAUAGGCAUGGUACAUAUAAACAUCAUUAUUCAAUUCUAAAUUCCUCAUUCAAGGGUUUAAAUCUUACGGUUGCAUGAAUCUAUGGCUAUAGUAAUUAAACCCACAUAGAAAUUAUCAACAAUCAUGGAAUAGAAUCCAAUUUCAUGUAGAAAAUCCAUAACUUGAGUUUAGAAAAGGGAUUCUUAGACUUCAUGGACGAAAAGGGGGUCCAUGAAUGAACACUAUGCAUACCUGGGAUAAUGUUCUUGAACUUGGAGAAGUGAAAAUCCCUUAAUUCUUGAAAAGGAUUGUAUUGUGUUCGUGGAGAUUAAAUUUAUAGAGAAACCCAAAUUUUUCUUGUGAAAUAAUAAUGGAUAAAGUGGCUGAAGUCGUGAAUAAAUGGGUAUAUAUAGAUGGGUGCUAAAUGACCAAAAUACCCCUAUUAAAAUGACCUGGAACAGGUGAACAUAAAAUUUAAUGGUGGCCUCCGACGGUCCGUCGGACCUGCGACAGUCCGUUGGGCCACGCCGUCGAACCUGGGCAGAACCUGAAGCCACUGGAAGCCUCUGACGGUGGACUCCGACGAUCUGUCGGGCCAUGCCGUCGGAAAGGAAUAUAAACUGUGUCCACUGCAUCCAUUUGACGGCGAUCUCCGAAGGCCAAUCGGGCUACCGACGGCACAUCAAAUUCUACCGUCGGAAUGGUGCAGUCUGACUGUUUCCAUAAAAAGUCCAUAACUUCCUCAUCUGACACUGGAUUUGAUAAAAUUGGUAUCGAUGGAAAGCUUAAAUAAUUUUUCACGUGAUGGAAAGUGAAAAUCAUAAAAAUAUCACGUGUAUAAAAAUAAAUUCAUAUUUCAAAGUAAGUUCAAACAUCCUGGUGAUGAUUUCAAGCUAAGAAAAGGCAUGGGUAUUACAAUAAACCAACAAACAAACAAUCAAACAAACAAAACCAAAAUUAGUGUUCAGUCAAAUUUAUUAUAGACCCAAAAUAAAAAGGUACUAAAAUGUAAACCUACGCUAACCUACACUAAUCCAAAAUUACGCUCUAAUACUUUACCCGAUGCCUUGGGCCUUGAUCACAAACCUCUUUUGUGUACAUGAUACUUCAGGGCAUUCCCCAAUGAAUAAGUACAAUGUGACCUCGGGAAAUUCCCUGACGAAUGAAUACAUUUGAUGAAAUGUAAUAAAAGUGGAGAAAAUCAUUCAACACAGACAUUCACACAUUCAAUGAUAUAGAAUCCUACAAGUUGCCUACCCUAAAACCUAAAAUUUGCCUAUCGAUUUUAGCUUAAAACAUGACACUAUCGGGUUCAACAACAUAAUCAGUGUUCAUUUCAAAUGACAUAACCAUCAAUGAAUCAAACUAAUCAAUAUUCACCUUUGUUAAUUUUCAAUUCCCACCCCUCCUUUAUUCUCAAAUUACCAAUUGCAAAUCUUAAACUAGAUAUCAUUUCAUCACACAAUACAUAACCAAUGGAACUAAUAAUGAAUCAAAACUAAGCAACUAUUCACCAACAACAAGGAUCAAGCAACACACGAUAUUCAAUCCAACACACCAAAUAUAAUAAAUAAUGAAAUAAAAAGAGGAAAAGAGUAGAAUUGAACCUCAAUUAUCGAUUUUGAUAUAUCGAACAUAGAACCGUAUCCAAAAUCCCUCGAUUUGAACCUCAAUAAAGAACUCCACAUGGACCUCGAUAUACUCCCUCGAUUCUAUUUUCUGCCAACUUGAAUAAAAAAUGCGAACCAACAAUAAACCGUACCAAAUUUGUGCCAAACGAUCCCCGUUUCACUCGUUUACCGGUAGAUUCCAUCAGAAUCAAACCAAAACAAGUCGAGUUCAAUUGGUUUUUCAGUUGUUGGGUCGUGGGAGCUCUGGUGAUAAGCGUUUUCCAGUGGUUUUAGGUGACGGUUUGGUCAUCUUUCUCCGGUGAAUCAAUGGAGCUAGUUUAGGAGUGGGUCUGAUUGGCGUCGAAGACGGAUUCAUCGCCAAAACAGUGAUCCCCACUGGCUAUUUCUCUCUUUUCUCUCUAAUUCCUCUCUGUUUUUGAUCACUCUCCUGCUCCUUCACUCUUUUUUUUCUGUUUCUACCCACUGUGUCUGUGUCUACAUCCGAUUAUAGGUGUUGUUUCGUGGUGAGCUGUGUGUUUCCAUGGAAAGAUGAAUUCUGUGUGUGUGUUAUUGUGUAGAAGAGAAUGGUGGUGAGGUCCCUAUUGUGUGAUUGUGUGUGUAUAUGUAACUUUUGUGAGAUGGGUAUUGUCUCCUGUAUGUAUAUUGUAUGGGUGUAUAUUG
rnacentral:lncRNA from 1 species